UACGGGAGGUGCUAGCGUUGUUCGGAAUUACUGGGCGUAAAGCGCGUGUAGGCGGCCGAUUAAGUCUGGUGUGAAAGCCCGGGGCUCACCCCCGGAAGUGCGCUGGAAACUGGUCGGUCUAGGAGUAUGGGAGAGGAAAGUGGAAUUCCCGGUGUAGCGGUGAAAUGCGUAGAUAUCGGGAAGAACACCCGUGGCGAAGGCGGCUCUCUGGGCCGAUACUGACGCUGAGGAGCGAAAGCGUGGGGAGCGAACAGG
rnacentral:rRNA from 1 species